rnacentral:rRNA from 1 species
GAUGAACGCUGGCGGCGUGCCUAACACAUGCAAGUCGAACGACCGCACGGGUAGUUUGCUUUUCUGAUGUUUGCGGCGCGGGGGUGUGUUACAUGUGGACAACUUCUCUAGAAGGCGGUGGCAAGUUGGGGGAACCGUUGCUAAUACCGGCGAACUACGGGAAACGCAUGGUUCAAAACGGAACUACCGUCUUGCGGUUACCUGUAGACUGAUCCGCGCUGCAUUAGCUAGUUGGUAUGGUAACGGCUUACCAAGGCAACGAUGCGUAGCCGGCCUGAGAGGGUGAUCGGCCACACUGGGACUGAGACACGGCCCAGACUCCUACGGGAGGCAGCAGUGGGGAAUUUUGGACAAUGGGCGAAAGCCUGAUGCAGCAAUGCCGCGUGAGUGAAGAAGGCCUUCGGAUCGUAAAGCACUGUUGUCCGGGAAGAAAACCUGUGUAAGAAUAUGUGCAGAGGAUGACGGUACCGGAACAAUAAGCAACGGCUAACUACGUG